UACGUAGGGGGCUAGCGUUGUCCGGAAUCAUUGGGCGUAAAGCGCGUGUAGGCGGUCCGGUAAGUCGGCUCUGAAAGUCCAGGGCUCAACCCUGGAAAGCGGGUGGAUACUGCCGGGCUAGAAUCCGGAAGAGGCGAGUGGAAUUCCUGGUGUAGCGGUGGAAUGCGCAGAUAUCAGGAGGAACACCAAUAGCGAAGGCAGCUCGCUGGGACGGUAUUGACGCUAAGGCGCGAAAGCGUGGGGAGCAAACAGG
rnacentral:rRNA from 1 species